AUGAACGCUGGCGGCGUGCCUAAUACAUGCAAGUCGAGCGAACAGACGAGGAGCUUGCUCCUCUGACGUUAGCGGCGGACGGGUGAGUAACACGUGGAUAACCUACCUAUAAGACUGGGAUAACUUCGGGAAACCGGAGCUAAUACCGGAUAAUAUAUUGAACCGCAUGGUUCAAUAGUGAAAGACGGUUUUGCUGUCACUUAUAGAUGGAUCCGCGCCGCAUUAGCUAGUUGGUAAGGUAACGGCUUACCAAGGCAACGAUGCGUAGCCGACCUGAGAGGGUGAUCGGCCACACUGGAACUGAGACACGGUCCAGACUCCUACGGGAGGCAGCAGUAGGGAAUCUUCCGCAGUGGGCGAAAGCUUGACGGAGCAACGCCGCGUGAGUGAUGAAGGUCUUCGGAUCGUAAAACUCUGUUAUUAGGGAAGAACAAAUGUGUAAGUAACUAUGCACGUCUUGACGGUACCUAAUCAGAAAGCCACGGCUAACUACGUG
rnacentral:rRNA from 1 species